UCCCUUUUAGCUCAGUUGGUAGAGCGCGUCACUAGUAUAUAUCGGGAUAAUCCCACUUCAGGGUGAAGUCAGCCGUUCAACUCGGUUAGAGGGAA